UACAGAGGGGGCAAGCGUUGUUCGGAAUUACUGGGCGUAAAGGGCUCGUAGGCGGCCAACUAAGUCCGACGUGAAAUCCCCAGGCUUAACCUGGGAACUGCGUCGGAUACUGGAUGGCUUGAAUUCGGGAGAGGGAUGCAGAAUUCCAGGUGUAGCGGUGAAAUGCGUAGAUAUCUGGAGGAAUACCGGUGGCGAAGGCGGCAUCCUGGACCGACAUUGACGCUGAUGAGCGAAAGCUAGGGGAGCAAACGGG
rnacentral:rRNA from 1 species